GGAUGCUCACUUUGGCACCCCAUAUACUAAAAUAGGAAUGAUACAGAGAAGAUUAGCAUAGCCCCUGAGCAAGUAUGACUUGCAAAUCCAUGAAACUUUCCAAGUACUG